rnacentral:rRNA from 1 species
UAAAGGGUCCGUAGGCGGCCUUGAGUAGUCAAAAGUAAAAGGUUAAAGCUCAACUUUAAAAUUGCUUUUAAAAAAAACGUCAAGGCUUGAGUUUGAAAGAGGAUAGCAGAAUUUUAUAUGGAGGGGUGAAAUCCUAAGAUAUAUGAAGGAAUACCAACGGCGAAGGCAGCUAUCUGGGUCAAUACUGACGCUGAGGGACGAAAGCACGGGUAGCAAAAAGGAUUUGAUACCCUCUUAGUCCGUGCCGUAAACGAUGAGUGCUCGUGCUCAGACGUAAGAUUUGGGCACUUAGGUAACCCAUUAAGCACUCCGCCUGAGAAGUACGAUCGCAAGAUUGGAACUCAAAGGAAUUGGCGGGGGUUCAUACAAGUGGUGGAACAUGUGGUUUAAUGCGAUAAUCCGCGCGAAACCUUACCAGUUCUAGACAUUUUCUUUUUUUUUAAGAUUAAAAAGAUAAUCAGGUGUUGCAUGGCUGUCGUCAGCUCGUGUUGUGAAAUGUUUGGUUAAGUCCUUUAACGAGCGCAACCCUUGUACUUAGUUGACUUCGGUGACUCUAAGUAGACUGCCCACUAGGAUAGUGGGAGAAAGGUAAGGAUGACGUCAAGUCCUCAUGGCCCUUAUGAACUGGGCUACACACGUGUUACAAUGGUAAGAACAAUGAGAAGCGAUCUUGUAAAAGUGAGCAAACCUAUAAAUCUUAUCUUAGUUCGGAUUGUGGGCUGCAACUCGCCCACAUGAAGUUGGAAUCACUAGUAAUCGCAAAUCAGAAUGUUGCGGUGAAUAUAUGUCUUAGCCUUGUACACACCGCCCGUCACAUGCAGGAAAU